AGAGGAACUUCCUGAAUUGCCACCCCUCCCCAGCUGGAUCCGCGUUACCUUUGUAGUGAAAAAACAGCCUGAGAAGGAAACAAGCGAUGUCAAGAAGAAGGCCAGUCAGCUGCCAGCGGUCCCGGGGGCGUCUUCUGCCAAAAAGCAGCCUCA